rnacentral:rRNA from 1 species
AAUCAACGCUGGCGGCGUGCCUCAGACAUGCAAGUCGAACGCGAAAGUUCCCUUCGGGGGAGUGAGUAGAGUGGCGCACGGGUGAGUAACACGUAGGUAAUCUACCUUUGGUAGUGGGGAAGUAACAACCGGAAACGGUUGCUAAUACCGCAUAAUGCAGCGGCACCUAAUGGUGACAGUUGUUAAAGCGGGGAGUCAAGACCUCGCGUCUGAAGAGGAGCCUGCGGCGGAUUAG